GCCCGGUUAGCUCAAUCGGUAGAGCGUGAGACUCUUAAUCUCAAGGUUGCGGGUAAGUUCUUGAUGUAAUUCACACAUCUCAUAACACACCAGCUAACAUCAUCUCCAAGGUUCGACCCCCGCAUCGGGCU